rnacentral:lncRNA from 1 species
UCGGCACGCGCCGGCUCCAACUGCGGCCGGCCUGCCGGCCUGCGAGCACCGGACUCGGCACCGACCCCGGUCACCACCCCGACGACGAGCGCGGCUCGGCGCCCGGUCAGGUCAUGGAUCCUCGCGGGAACUCGCGGGUGCUCGCCUGCAGGGACACAGAGAGGGAGAAGGGAGUUACCGCCGGGCCUCCGAGGGGGCGCCCAGACCGACGCGGCCCGCCUUUCGGGCUCGGCCCUUGAGGUUACCUCCAGCCGCCGCCCCGAGCGCGGGUUCCCUCCGGCCUCCACCUCCUCCUCCUAGCUCUGCUGCCGCCGCCGCCGCUGCCGGAAAAGGCGCCGAGGAAACCGCCUCACUUCCCCUCCCAACUGCGCACGCGCGCCUCGGCCCGACCGUUCGGAAGAGCGCGACCUCUGAAAGGAGAGUGGCCCGCGCUCUCGACGUCACGAGCGCCACGCGCCGGGGGGCGGGGCUACGGCGGCUCCCGGGGCUCAACGCCGGCGCCUCGCGGAACCUGCUGGCGUGGGGCUGGCCGUGUGCCCACCUGUCGCUCUACCCGGGGUCUCCGCGGGUCUCCUUCUCCGCCACUCGAAGGCGGGGCACGGAUCCACCGAGGGCGGGCUUCGUCGGCCCUUAGGACCGGCGCCCCAGCCACGCUUCCCAGGCUCGCUCCCGGACCCCCUGCGCGAAGCCCCUCCCGCUCUCCCCAGCCUUCCUUCAGUUUCCUGGAAGACACGUGGGAGGCCAGUGUUCCAUAGAAUCCGCCAAAGUAGCCCGCACUUUUUGUACUCGAGUUGGGUCUGCCCCUAAGCCCUGCCUUUGAAAGUUUAAACUCGUUCUUUAUAAGUCUGGUCUGAACCGCCCGCAUUUCUUAAGAAACAGACUAUCAGGGCCGACGAGAUGACUGUGGGUAAAGCCUGCCACCGAGAGGGCGGACCCGCCUUCGUUCCCCAGGAAGGAGAGAACCAACUCCCUUGAAUUGACUUCUGCUCUCCACGUACUAUAAGGAAACUCUUUGGGUUUUGUUCUUAUUUUCAAAUACUUUUUUUCAUUUAGUGUGCGUACGCACGGAGAGAGGUCAGAGGACAACCAAAGUCAGUUCUCCCCUUUCUUCAUGUGGGUCCCAGGUAUCAAGUCAAGCUUGGCGCCCGACGCUUUUACCUACUAAGCCAUCUUGCUGGACCAGGAAACCUUUUUGUAUUAAACGGAUAGUGUUAAGGUUAAAGUAAGGUGAAAUUUUUAAUAAAAAUAAACACGGGGAGAAAACUUAAGUUCAAGGAAGUUGCUACAACAGCAUAUGAUAAUAUACUGUUUUUAUUUUAUAAUUAAAAAAAAAAAAAAAGGAAGUCAUCUGGUACAGCUCACACCUGUACCAGAAGUGAUGAGACUGAGGCAGAGAGGGUCGCUGUAAUUCUAGGUCAGUCUAGGCUAGAGAGUGUGCCACUCUAUUUAACAAGUACUGGCCUCACAGUCGCUCAGGGUUAUCUGAAAUUAUUCUCCAGCCUCCACCUCCCAGGACAGGGGUGACCCAAUGGAGCAACAGGUAUUUGAAACCACAGCAGGCUUUUUACUUGACUGAAGAUUCGAACUCUGGAACUUACUGCUUACAAAGCAAGUGCUUUUUAAUGCACCAAGCCAUCUUCCCAGCCCCAAUAAUAAAUGAUUAAAGAAUAAUUAUAGUACAAAACAAAUAGCAAUAGUCAGAAACUAGUCGCCAAUAGUAAGAAUUAAACUCUCUAUGCCAUGCUUUAAAAAAAAUAGGUCAGUUUGGGGCUGGUUGAUACUGCUCAGUGAUUAAAGCACUUGUCACCCACCCUGACUUGGAGGACACCAAGCAAAAUGUAAUUUAAAGACAUUCAAGGUGGUGUAUGCCUUUAACCCCCGCACUGGAGAGACAGAGAUUGAUGAAUAUCUCUGAGAUUGAGGCCAACCUGGUGUACAUAUUGAGCUCCAGGCCAAGUCAAGGUUACAAAGUGAGGUCCUAGCUC